UACGGGGGAUGCAAGCGUUAUCCGGAUUUAUUGGGUUUAAAGGGUGCGUAGGCGGCAUUGUAAGUCAGCGGUGAAAUUUCGGAGCUCAACUUCGAACGUGCCGUUGAUACUGCAGUGCUGGAAUGCGGAUGCCGUGGGAGGAAUGUGUGGUGUAGCGGUGAAAUGCAUAGAUAUCACACAGAACACCGAUUGCGAAGGCAUCUCACGAAUCCGCUAUUGACGCUGAGGCACGAAAGCGUGGGGAUCAAACAGG
rnacentral:misc_RNA from 1 species